UUUUUGCUCGGUCUGUGAGUUUCUGCUAGUCUCGUGCAAUUUCAAUUUUUCUCCCUAAAACUUUGCUGAGUUGACUAUGAACUCCUGUUAUUAUCUAGACAACUACGUUAUUUGGAUAAACUUUAGAACAGUAGACAUCACUGGAACCAAACCAUCCUAAUCUGCAAUUAAAAAGACUAAAAAACUUCAGAACUGAUGCCUUAGGAGGGGACUCUGAUCAGCUUGACGAGUUGAAACUUUCCAAAGAUUUUGGAAGAUAAGUCCCUGGCCCUGUUAAAGAGUGAAUCCAAAAUAGCCUGUACGGUUAAUCUAGCACUUAGAUUCAGGGAUAGGAAAUGACAGAUAACUUGAGCUGUAUAUUUAGCACAGAGAAAUAAGCACUGUAAAUAGA